rnacentral:rRNA from 1 species
AGUGAACGCUGGCGGUAGGCCUAACACAUGCAAGUCGAACGGCAGCACAGUAAGAGCUUGCUCUUACGGGUGGCGAGUGGCGGACGGGUGAGGAAUACAUCGGAAUCUACUUUUUCAUGGGGGAUAACGUAGGGAAACUUACGCUAAUACCGCAUACGACCUACGGGUGAAAGCAGGGGAUCUUCGGACCUUGCGCGAUUGAAUGAGCCGAUGUCGGAUUAGCUAGUUGGCGGGGUAAAGGCCCACCAAGGCGACGAUCCGUAGCUGGUCUGAGAGGAUGAUCAGCCACACUGGAACUGAGACACGGUCCAGACUCCGACGGGAGGCAGCAGUGGGGAAUAUUGGACAAUGGGCGCAAGCCUGAUCCAGCCAUACCGCGUGGGUGAAGAAGGCCUUCGGGUUGUAAAGCCCUUUUGUUGGGAAAGAAAAGCAGCAGGUUAAUACCCCGCUGUUCUGACGGUACCCAAAGAAUAAGCACCGGCUAACUUCGU